rnacentral:rRNA from 1 species
CCCGUGAACCUUUACUAUAGCUUGACACUGAACAUUGAGCCUUGAUGUGUAGGAUAGGUGGGAGGCUUUGAAGUGUGGACGCCAGUCUGCAUGGAGCCGACCUUGAAAUACCACCCUUUAAUGUUUGAUGUUCUAACGUUGGCCCGUAAUCCGGGUUGCGGACAGUGUCUGGUGGGUAGUUUGACUGGGGCGGUCUCCUCCUAAAGAGUAACGGAGGAGCACGAAGGUUGGCUAAUCCUGGUCGGACAUCAGGAGGUUAGUGCAAUGGCAUAAGCCAGCUUGACUGCGAGCGUGACGGCGCGAGCAGGUGCGAAAGCAGGUCAUAGUGAUCCGGUGGUUCUGAAUGGAAGGGCCAUCGCUCAACGGAUAAAAGGUACUCCGGGGAUAACAGGCUGAUACCGCCCAAGAGUUCAUAUCGACGGCGGUGUUUGGCACCUCGAUGUCGGCUCAUCACAUCCUGGGGCUGAAGUAGGUCCCAAGGGUAUGGCUGUUCGCCAUUUAAAGUGGUACGCGAGCUGGGUUUAGAACGUCGUGAGACAGUUCGGUCCCUAUCUGCCGUGGGCGCUGGAGAACUGAGGGGGGCUGCUCCUAGUACGAGAGGACCGGAGUGGACGCAUCACUGGUGUUCGGGUUGUCAUGCCAAUGGCACUGCCCGGUAGCUAAAUGCGGAAGAGAUAAGUGCUGAAAGCAUCUAAGCACGAAACUUGCCCCGAGAUGAGUUCUCCCUGACUCCUUGAGGGUCCUG